AUCUGGAGCGAGGACAAAACAGCCCCUAAACAGAUUAUAUUAGGAACCUUAAAAAAAAAAAAAUCUAUAUCUAUAUAUCUAUAUAUAUAUAUCUAUAUCUAUAUCAGAUAUAGAUUUUUUUUUUUUUUUUUUUUAAGGUUCCUACUAUAAUCUGUUUAGGGGCUGUUUUGUCCUCGCUCCAGAUU
rnacentral:miRNA from 1 species